UACGGGGGGGGCAAGCGUUGUUCGGAAUUACUGGGCGUAAAGCGUGCGCAGGCGGUUUCUUAAGUCAGAUGUGAAAGCCCCGGGCUUAACCUGGGAACUGCGUUUGAAACUGGGAGACUUGAGUGUGGCAGAGGGGGGUGGAAUUCCACGUGUAGCAGUGAAAUGCGUAGAUAUCAGGAGGAACACCGAUGGCGAAGGCAGGUCUCUGGGCCACUACUGACGCUGAGAAGCGAAAGCAUGGGGAGCGAACAGG
rnacentral:rRNA from 1 species